rnacentral:lncRNA from 1 species
GGCUGCAUGAUUUUUCUGUCGUCGAAUCUUGCAGAGGUUCUCAAUAUUUUUCCUUUGUUUUAUAGUGAAGUUAUAGACGUACCCGUGACAACUCGCAGUCUUAUCUGUAAAGGUUGUCGUGGGGGAUAGACCAAAUGUCAAUUCUCUAUUAUUGCAAAACUACCACAUGAUUUACCUCUCUUUUCCCAUGAACAAAUUUGCAACAUGAUUUACCCCAAA